AUGAACGCUAGCUACAGGCUUAACACAUGCAAGUCGAGGGGCAGCAUGGUCUUAGCUUGCUAAGGCCGAUGGCGACCGGCGCACGGGUGAGUAACACGUAUCCAACCUGCCGUCUACUCUUGGACAGCCUUCUGAAAGGAAGAUUAAUACAAGAUGGCAUCAUGAGUCCGCAUGUUCACAUGAUUAAAGGUAUUCCGGUAGACGAUGGGGAUGCGUUCCAUUAGAUAGUAGGCGGGGUAACGGCCCACCUAGUCUUCGAUGGAUAGGGGUUCUGAGAGGAAGGUCCCCCACAUUGGAACUGAGACACGGUCCAAACUCCUACGGGAGGCAGCAGUGAGGAAUAUUGGUCAAUGGGCGAGAGCCUGAACCAGCCAAGUAGCGUGAAGGAUGACUGCCCUAUGGGUUGUAAACUUCUUUUAUAAAGGAAUAAAGUCGGGUAUGGAUACCCGUUUGCAUGUACUUUAUGAAUAAGGAUCGGCUAACUCCGUGCCAGCAGCCGCGGUAAUACGGAGGAUCCGAGCGUUAUCCGGAUUUAUUGGGUUUAAAGGGAGCGUAGAUGGAUGUUUAAGUCAGUUGUGAAAGUUUGCGGCUCAACCGUAAAAUUGCAGUUGAUACUGGAUAUCUUGAGUGCAGUUGAGGCAGGCGGAAUUCGUGGUGUAGCGGUGAAAUGCUUAGAUAUCACGAAGAACUCCGAUUGCGAAGGCAGCCUGCUAAGCUGCAACUGACAUUGAGGCUCGAAAGUGUGGGUAUCAAACAGGAUUAGAUACCCUGGUAGUCCACACGGUAAACGAUGAAUACUCGCUGUUUGCGAUAUACUGCAAGCGGCCAAGCGAAAGCGUUAAGUAUUCCACCUGGGGAGUACGCCGGCAACGGUGAAACUCAAAGGAAUUGACGGGGGCCCGCACAAGCAGUGGAGUAUGUGGUUUAAUUCGACGCAACGCGAAGAACCUUACCAAGUCUUGACAUCCCUUGACGAACAUAGAAAUAUGUUUUCUCUUCGGAGCAAGGAGACAGGUGGUGCAUGGUUGUCGUCAGCUCGUGUCGUGAGAUGUUGGGUUAAGUCCCGCAACGAGCGCAACCCUUGUUGUCAGUUACUAACAGGUUCCGCUGAGGACUCUGACAAGACUGCCAUCGUAAGAUGUGAGGAAGGUGGGGAUGACGUCAAAUCAGCACGGCCCUUACGUCCGGGGCUACACACGUGUUACAAUGGGGGGUACAGAGGGCCGCUACCACGCGAGUGGAUGCCAAUCCCCAAAACCUCUCUCAGUUCGGACUGGAGUCUGCAACCCGACUCCACGAAGCUGGAUUCGCUAGUAAUCGCGCAUCAGCCACGGCGCGGUGAAUACGUUCCCGGGCCUUGUACACACCGCCCGUCAAGCCAUGGGAGCCGGGGGUACCUGAAGUGCGUAACCGCGAGGAGCGCCCUAGGGUAAAACUGGUGACUGGGGCU
rnacentral:rRNA from 1 species